rnacentral:rRNA from 1 species
UGGGGAAUAUUGGACAAUGGGCGAAAGCCUGAUCCAGCCAUGCCGCGUGUGUGAAGAAGGUCUUCGGAUUGUAAAGCACUUUAAGUUGGGCGGAAGGGCAGUAAGCGAAUACCUUGCUGUUUUGACGUUACCGACAGAAUAAGCACCGGCUAACUCUGUGCCAGCAGCCGCGGUAAUACAGAGGGUGCAAGCGUUAAUCGGAAUUACUGGGCGUAAAGCGCGCGUAGGUGGUUCGUUAAGUUGAAUGUGAAAGCCCCGGGCUCAACCUGGGAAGUGCAUCCAAGACUGGCGGGCUAGGGGAGGGCAGAGGGGGGUGGAAUUUCCUGUGGAGCGGGGAAAUGCGGAAGAAUAGGAGAGAACACCAGUGGCGAAGGCGACCACCUGGGCUCAUACUGACACUGAGGUGCGAAAGCGUGGGGAGCAAACAGG